AAAAACAUGUCUUUUUGAAAAUAAUUUAAAGUCUGACCUGCCCACUGAGAUAAAGUAUUUGAAGGGCCGCAGUAUUUUGACUGUGCAAAGGUAGCAUAAUCAUUAGUCUUUUAAUUGGAGACUGGUAUGAAUGGUUUAACGAAGUAUUAACUGUCUCAUUUUAAUAAAUUGAAUUUAACUUUUGAGUCAAAAGGCUUAAAUAAAGUUAGAGGACGAGAAGACCCUAUAGAGCUUUAUAAAUUGAAUAUUAAAUUGGAUUUAGAAGUUUUGUUUAAUUUGAAUAGAAAAUUUAUUUUAUUGGGGUGAUAUGAAGAUUUAAUGAACUCUUUAUAAGAAUUGCACACUAAUGAGUGAAUAAUUGAUCCAUUUUUAGUGAUUAUAAGAUUAAGUUACCUUAGGGAUAACAGCGUAAUGUUUUUUGAGAGUUCUUAUCAACAAGAAAGAUUGCGACCUCGAUGUUGGAUUAAGGAAAAAGUUGGGUGUAGAAGUUCAAAUGUUUAGGUCUGUUCGACCUUUAAAUCCUUACGUCAUCUG
rnacentral:rRNA from 1 species